CCUACGGGAGGCUGCAGUGGGGAAUAUUGGACAAUGGGGGGAACCCUGAUCCAGCCAUGCCGCGUGUGUGAAGAAGGCCCUCGGGUUGUAAAGCACUUUCAGUGAGGAAGAACGCCUGGUGGUUAAUACCCAUCAGGAAAGACAUCACUCACAGAAGAAGCACCGGCUAACUCCGUGCCAGCAGCCGCGGUAUUACGGAGGGUGCGAGCGUUAAUCGGAAUUACUGGGCGUAAAGCGCGCGUAGGUGGCUUGAUAAGCCGGUUGUGAAAGCCCCGGGCUCAACCUGGGAACGGCAUCCGGAACUGUCAAGCUAGAGUGCAGGAGAGGAAGGUAGAAUUCCCGGUGUAGCGGUGAAAUGCGUAGAGAUCGGGAGGAAUACCAGUGGCGAAGGCGGCCUUCUGGACUGACACUGACACUGAGGUGCGAAAGCGUGGGUAGCAAACAGGAUUAGAUACCCUGGUAGUC
rnacentral:rRNA from 1 species